rnacentral:miRNA from 1 species
ACAGGCUCGGCUACUGGUAGA